GGUCUCAUGGUGUAAUGGUUAGCACUCUGGACUUCGAAUCCAGCGAUCUGAGUUCAAAUCUCGGUGAGACCU
rnacentral:tRNA from 1 species